UACGAAGGGGGCUAGCGUUGCUCGGAAUCACUGGGCGUAAAGGGUGCGUAGGCGGGUCUUUAAGUCAGGGGUGAAAUCCUGGAGCUCAACUCCAGAGCUGCCUUUGAUACUGAGGAUCUUGAGUUCGGGAGAGGUGAGUGGAAUUCCCAGUGUAGAGGUGAAAUUCGUAGAUAUUGGGAAGAACACCGGUGGCGAAGGCGGCUCACUGGCUCAUAUCUGACGCUCAGGCGCGACGAGCGUGGGGAUCAAACAGG
rnacentral:rRNA from 1 species